rnacentral:rRNA from 1 species
UACGGGGGGGGCAAGCGUUGUUCGGAAUUACUGGGCGUAAAGGGCUCGUAGGCGGCCAACUAAGUCGGACGUGAAAUCCCCAGGCUCAACCUGGGAACUGCGUCCGAUACUGGAUGGCUUGAAUCCGGGAGAGGGAUGCAGAAUUCCAGGUGUAGCGGUGAAAUGCGUAGAUAUCGGGAGGAACACCGGUGGCGAAGGCGGCGACCUGGGACGAUACUGACGCUGAGGUGCGAAAGCGUGGGGAGCAAACAGG